CUGCCCGGACGGAAAGGGGAGCCGGGCACGCCGGUAUGGAUGGGGGUGUGGAUGCUGAGGGGGUUUCCACCCGCACCCCGUGCCCCCCCAGCUGAUGGAGCAUCUCUCUCCUCCAGGGCAACCCUGGCCCCCCCGGCAGCCCUGGCCCACGGGGGCCCUUUGGAGAUCCAGGCCCUCUGGGUCCCACGGGGCCCAUGGGGCCACCGGGACCUCCGGGAGACUUUGUAAAGGUACGUGCCCCCCAGCGCUGCAUGGGGACAGAGGGACAGCCGGCAGCUUGAAGCUGCUCCCCUAACGUGAUGCUCCCGGUGCUGCGCGGCUCCUUCCUUGCCGUGUUUGCUCUCCGUGCCCCCCUCCAUCAUCCAUGCCCCUUGUGAGCCGUUGCCCCAUGAUUUGGGGGUGGGGUGAGGCAUGAGGAGAGCCCAGACCCACCCUUACCCUCUUGCUUUUACCCUUGCAGGGGGAGAAGGGUGACCGAGGGGAGAGGGGCCCCCCCGGACUUGUGGAUGGGGCAGUGCCCCGAGGGGAGCCAGGCCCCCCGGUGAGUCCGGCCCCUGGGCCAGCGAAGGGGAGCGGGGCCGCGGGCAGCCGGGUGCCCCCAGGGGCUGAGCUGUCCCCUCGCUGCUCUCUUGUAGGGUCUGCCUGGGGACCCCGGCCCGCGGGGGCCUGCUGGCACCCCUGGACCCAAGGGCGAGAAGGUAAGGGGGUGGUGGGCCCCCCCCCCGGCUCUGCGGCGGGGACACACGUCCCCAUCUCACGGUGUGCUGCCGGCUUUCCUGCCCCCCAGGGUGACGGUGAGGACGGUUUGCCAGGGCCACCCGGCCGCCCAGGGGACCCAGGGGACCGGGGCCCGCGGGGACUGCCCGGGGAGCAGGGCAGGAAGGGAGACCGCGGGGCGCCAGGCGAGCUGGGAGAGACGGGCGAGAAGGUGAGGUGGGGACGGGGGCUGCCUGCUUCGGUGACCUCUGGGGUCCCCGUGGCACUGGGGAGGCUGUGGCCCU
rnacentral:lncRNA from 1 species